AGGAGCCACAGUCAUUGCCAGCUCUGCUGAGACGUAUACAGCUGCAGUGGCUUGUCUCGCUCCAGUCAGAUGAUCCACAGACUUCUGAUCCAGAAACUUUUCUGGAGUGUGACCCGUCAGAUGCUCUCAGCCACAUGAGAGGAAGAGGUGAUCGAGGCCUGGUCCAAUAAGAGACUUGGCCCAACACAAGGGAGAAGGCCUUCAGUCUGUGUAAUCUGCUGUUACUCUGAAGUUCAGUCUAAUCAAAACUGAAGCAUCACUGCUGAUGAAGAUCUCCAGAGGAACAAGAAACUCCAACAGUGGUGCUGAGGAGCACACUGGACCUGUGGAUUUAAUGGAGGAACAAAAAGAGACAAAUGGUUUUUGGAGGACUCAAAAACAAAUGAUGAAGCUCAUAUAGAAGACUACGCCCCUGGAGAAAAAGGACAGUGAUGAUGAGACGGACUACAGGAACGAUGUGUGACAUCUGGCCUCAUGGUGACAACCAAGCAGAUUAUUGUGGACUUCAACUAAAAUGGGCAAAACAACCAUCAAACUCUCUGUGUCGGCACUGAGGUAGUAGAGAGGGUGACCAUG